rnacentral:tRNA from 2 species
GGAGAGAUGUCCGAGUGGUCGAAGGAGCUCGCCUCGAAAGCGAGUAGUCCUUAACGGGGCUCGUGGGUUCGAAUCCCACUCUCUCCGCCA